CCUACGGGAGGCAGCAGUCGAGAAUCAUUCACAAUGGGGGAAACCCUGAUGGUGCGACGCCGCGUGGGGGAAUGAAGGUCUUCGGAUUGUAAACCCCUGUCAUGUGGGAGCAAAUUAAAAAGAUAGUACCACAAGAGGAAGAGACGGCUAACUCUGUGCCAGCAGCCGCGGUAAUACAGAGGUCUCAAGCGUUGUUCGGAAUCACUGUGCGUAAAGCGUGCGUAGGCUGUUUCGUAAGUCGUGUGUGAAAGGCGCGGGCUCAACCCGCGGACGGCACAUGAUACUGCGAGACUAGAGUAGUGGAGGGGGAACCGGAAUUCUCGGUGUAGCAGUGAAAUGCGUAGAUAUCGAGAGGAACACUCGUGGCGAAGGCGGGUUCCUGGACAUUAACUGACGCUGAGGCACGAAGGCCAGGGGAGCGAAAGGGAUUAGAUACCCCUGUAGUC
rnacentral:rRNA from 1 species